GAUGAAGAACGUAGCGAAAUGCGAUAAGUAGUGUGAAUUGCAGAAUUCAGUGAAUCAUCGAAUCUUUGAACGCACAUUGCGCCCUUUGGUAUUCCAAAGGGCAUGCCUGUUCGAGCGUCAUUUGUACCCUCAAGCUUUGCUUGGUGUUGGGCGUCUUGUCUCUAGCUUUGCUGGAGACUCGCCUUAAAGUAAUUGGCAGCCGGCCUACUGGUUUCGGAGCGCAGCACAAGUCGCACUCUCUAUCAGCAAAGGUCUAGCAUCCAUUACGCCUUUUUUUCAACUUUUGACCUCGGAUCAGGUAGGGAUACCCGCUGAACUUAAGCAUAUCAAUAAGCGGAGGA
rnacentral:misc_RNA from 1 species